GUAAAAAGUAGAAUAAUAGAUUUGAAAUAUUUAUUAUAUAGAUUUAAAGAGAUAAUCAUGGAGUAUAAAAUUAUUAAAAAUAAUUUAAUAAUAACUAUUAAUAGGAUUAGGUUACUAAUAAAUUAAUAAUAAUUAAUUUAAAAACCUAAAGGUAAACCUUAUAUUAAUAAUAUAUAUAUUUAUAUUAUUAAUAAUAAUAAGAACUAAGUGAACUGAAACAUCUAAGUAACUUAAGGAAUAAAAAUCAACAGAGAUAUUAUGAGUAUUGGUGAGAGAAAAUAAUAAAGGUCUAAUAAGUAUUAUGUAAGAAGUAUGUAAGAAAAUAGGAUAACAAAUUCUAAGACUAAAUACUAUUAAUAAGUAUAAAAAGUACCGUAAGGGAAAGUAUGAAAAUGAUUAUUUUAUAAGCAAUCAUGGAUAUAAUUUUAAUAUUAAUGAUGUACCUUUUGUAUAAUGGGUCAGCAAGUAAUUAAUAUUAGUAAAACAAUAAAGUUAUAAAUAAAUAGAAAUAAUAUAUAUAUAUAUAUAAAAAUAUAUUAAAAUAUUUAAUUAAUAUUAAUUGACCCGAAAGCAAACGAUCUAACUAUGAUAAGAUGGGUAAACGAUCGAACAGGUUGAUGUUGCAAUAUCAUCUGAUUAAUUGUGGUUAGUAGUGAAAGACAAAUCUGGUUUGCAGAUAGCUGGUUUUCUAUGAAAUAUAUGUAAGUAUAGCCUUUAUAAAUAAUAAUUAUUAUAUAAUAUUUUAAUAAUAUUAUAUAAAGAAUGGUACAGCAAUUAAUAUAUAUUAGGGAACUAUAAAAGUUUUAUUAAUAAUAUUAAAUCUCGAAAUGUUUAAUUAUAUAUAAUAAAGAGUCAGAUUAUGUGCGAUAAGGUAAAUAAUCAAAAGGGAAACAGCCCAGAUUAAGAUAUAAAGUUCCUAAUAAAUAAUAAGUGAAAAAAAUAUUAAAAUAUUAUAAUAUAAUCAGUUAAUGGGUUUGACAAUAACCAUUUUUUAAUGAACAUGUAACAAUGCACUGAUUUAUAAAAAUAAAAUAAUAUUUAAAAUCAAAUAUAUAUUUAAUAUAUAUUUGUUAAUAGAUAAUAUACGGAUCUUAAUAAUAAAAAUUAUUUAAUUCCAAAAAUGGAAUAUCAUAUUAAAUUUAUAAAAAAAAAAUAUGAAUACUGAAUAUCUAAAUAUUAUUAUUAAUAAUAAUAAUAAUAAUAUGGUAAUAGAACAUUUAAUGAUAAUAUAUAUUAGUUAUUAAUUAAUAUAUUAAUUAAUUAAAUAGAGAAUGCUGACAUGAGUAACGAAAAAAAGGUAUAAACCUUUUCACCUAAAACAUAAGGUUUAACUAUAAAAGUACGGCCCCUAAUUAAAUAAUAAGAAUAAAAAUAUAUUUAAGAUGGGAUAAUCUAUAUUAAUAAAAAUUAUCUUAAAAUAUAUAUAUUAUUAUUAAUUAAUUAAUUAAUAAUAUAUAUAAUUAUAUUUAUAUAUUAUAUCUAUAUAUAUAUAUAUAUAUAUAAACUAAUAAAGAUCAGGAAAGUAUUAAUGUAUACCGUAAUGUAGACCGACUCAGGUAUGUAAGUAGAGAAUAUGAAGGUGAAUUAGAGAAUUAAAGGGAAGGAACUCGGCAAAGAUAGCUCAUAAGUUAGUCAAUAAAGAGUAAUAAGAACAAAGUUGUACAACUGUUUACUAAAAACACCGCACUUUGCAGAAACGAUAAGUUUAAGUAUAAGGUGUGAACUCUGCUCCAUGCUUAAUAUAUAAAUUAAAUUAUUUAACGAUAAUUUAAUUAAAUUUAGGUAAAUAGCAGCCUUAUUAUGAGGGUUAUAAUGUAGCGAAAUUCCUUGGCCUAUAAUUGAGGUCCCGCAUGAAUGACGUAAUGAUACAACAACUGUCUCCCCUUUAAACUAAGUGAAAUUGAAAUCGUAGUGAAGAUGCUAUGUACCUUCAGCAAGACGGAAAGACCCUAUGCAGCUUUACUGUAAUUAGAUAGAUCGAAUUAUUGUUUAUUAUAUUCAGCAUAUUAAGUAAUCCUAUAAUUUUUUUUAUAGGUAAUCGUUUAGAUAUUAAUGAGAUACUUAUUAUAAUAUAAUGAUAAUUCUAAUCUUAUAAAUAAUAAUUAAUUAAUUAAUUAAUUAUUAAUACUUAAUAGAUAUAAUUCUUAAGUAAUAUAUAAUAUAUUAUAUUAUUAUAUGUAUUAUAUAUAUAUAUAUAAGAGACAAUCUCUAAUUGGUAGUUUUGAUGGGGCGUCAUUAUCAGCAAAAGUAUCUGAAUAAGUCCAUAAAUAAAUAUAUAAAAUUAUUGAAUAAGAAUAAUAUAUAUUAUAUAUAUUAAUUAUAAAUUGAAAUAUAUUUAUAUUUUUAAUGAAUAUAUUUUAGUAAUAGAUAAAAAUAUGUACAGUAAAAUUGUAAGGAAAACAAUAAUAACUUUCUAUUUAUUUAUUUAUAAUAAUAAAGUAUAGAAAGAAUUAGAUUAAUAUAAUGGUAUAACUGUGCGAUAAUUGUAACACAAACAAGUGAAACAAGUACGUAAGUAUGGCAUAAUGAACAAAUAACACUGAUUGUAAAGGUUAUUGAUAACGAAUAAAAGUUACGCUAGGGAUAACAGGGUAAUAUAACGAAAGAGUAGAUAUUGUAAGUUAUGUUUGCCACCUCGAUGUCGACUCAACAUUUCCUCUUGGUUGUAAAAGCUAAGAAGGGUUUGACUGUUCGUCAAUUAAAAUGUUACGUGAGUUGGGUUAAAUACGAUGUGAAUCAGUAUGGUUCCUAUCUGCUGAAGGAAAUAUUAUCAAAUUAAAUCUCAUUAUUAGUACGCAAGGACCAUAAUGAAUCAACCCAUGGUGUAUCUAUUGAUAAUUUAAUAAUAUAUUUAUAAUAAAAUUUUUAUAAUAAAUAUAUUAUCUAUAUUAGUUUAUAUUUUUAUAUAAUUAUCAUAGUAGAUAAGCUAAGUUGAUAAUAAAUAAAUAUUGAAUACAUAUUAAAUAUGAAGUUGUUUUAAUAAGAUAAUUAAUCUGAUAAUUUUAUACUAAAAUUUAAUAAUUAUAGGUUUUAUAUAUUCUUUAUAUAUUAUAUUAAUAAUAUUAUAUAUAAUAUUAAUAAAAUACUAAUUUAUCAGUUAUCUAUAUAAUAUCUAAUCUAUUAUUCU
rnacentral:rRNA from 1 species